GGGGAGGUAAGUGUGUAGUGGAGCUACCAUACUUGGGUGAAUUUAUAUGGAUUGCCCUGGCAGGGAUAUCUAGGGUCACUCGGUGUCGGGUCAUCCAAUCCAUACCCAAGAUAACAUCUAUUCCUUCUAUUCCGAGGGUAAGCAGGUCUUCCUUCAGAAGGGUUCUCCCUAACUGGAUAGGUACUUUGCGGCUCACUUGGUGUGAAGCUACCUUUCCACCCGGGGUAGAGAUUAUGUAGGUACUUUGGUGUGACAGAAAUCUAGCCCACACUUAGCACUGCUUCUAGUCCCAAUGAAACUAUGAGAUGCUCCUGAAUCAAACAGAAUAAGGACGGGUUGAUCACAGAUAGAAAAGGUACCCGUCAUCACUGGUGCGCCCUCUGGAAGUUCAGCAAGGGUGGUGAAG
rnacentral:lncRNA from 1 species